CGGUUAAGUUAGAAAGGGCGCACGGUGGAUGCCUUGGCACUAGGAGCCGAUGAAGGACGGGACGAACACCGAUAUGCUUCGGGGAGCUGUAAGCAAGCUUUGAUCCGGAGAUUUCCGAAUGGGGAAACCCACCACUCGUAAUGGAGUGGUAUCCAUAUCUGAAUACAUAGGAUAUGAGAAGGCAGACCCGGGGAACUGAAACAUCUAAGUACCCGGAGGAAGAGAAAGCAAAUGCGAUUCCCUGAGUAGCGGCGAGCGAAACGGGACCAGCCCAAACCAAGAGGCUUGCCUCUUGGGGUUGUAGGACACUCUGUACGGAGUUACAAAGGAACGAGGUAGAUGAAGAGGUCUGGAAAGGCCCGCCAUAGGAGGUAACAGCCCUGUAGUCAAAACUUCGUUCUCUCCUGAGUGGAUCCUGAGUACGGCGGAACACGUGAAAUUCCGUCGGAAUCCGGGAGGACCAUCUCCCAAGGCUAAAUACUCCCUAGUGACCGAUAGUGAACCAGUACCGUGAGGGAAAGGUGAAAAGCACCCCGGAAGGGGAGUGAAAGAGAUCCUGAAACCGUGUGCCUACAAGUAGUCAGAGCCCGUUAACGGGUGAUGGCGUGCCUUUUGUAGAAUGAACCGGCGAGUUACGAUCCCGUGCAAGGUUAAGCAGAAGAUGCGGAGCCGCAGCGAAAGCGAGUCUGAAUAGGGCGAAUUGAGUACGUGGUCGUAGACCCGAAACCAGGUGAUCUACCCAUGUCCAGGGUGAAGUUCAGGUAACACUGAAUGGAGGCCCGAACCCACGCACGUUGAAAAGUGCGGGGAUGAGGUGUGGGUAGGGGUGAAAUGCCAAUCGAACCUGGAGAUAGCUGGUUCUCUCCGAAAUAGCUUUAGGGCUAGCCUCAAGGUAAGAGUCUCGGAGGUAGAGCACUGAUUGGACUAGGGGCCCCUACCGGGUUACCGAAUUCAGUCAAACUCCGAAUGCCGAUGACUUAUCCUUGGGAGUCAGACUGCGAGUGAUAAGAUCCGUAGUCGAAAGGGAAACAGCCCAGACCGCCAGCUAAGGUCCCAAAGUAUACGUUAAGUGGAAAAGGAUGUGGAGUUGCUUAGACAACCAGGAUGUUGGCUUAGAAGCAGCCACCAUUUAAAGAGUGCGUAAUAGCUCACUGGUCGAGUGACUCUGCGCCGAAAAUGUACCGGGGCUAAACGUAUCACCGAAGCUGCGGACUGUUCUUCGAACAGUGGUAGGAGAGCGUUCUAAGGGCUGUGAAGCAAGACCGGAAGGACUUGUGGAGCGCUUAGAAGUGAGAAUGCCGGUAUGAGUAGCGAAAGAGGGGUGAGAAUCCCCUCCACCGAAUGCCUAAGGUUUCCUGAGGAAGGCUCGUCCGCUCAGGGUUAGUCGGGACCUAAGCCGAGGCCGAAAGGCGUAGGCGAUGGACAACAGGUUGAUAUUCCUGUACCACCUCCUCACCAUUUGAGCAAUGGGGGGACGCAGGAGGAUAGGGUAAGCGCGGUAUUGGAUAUCCGCGUCCAAGCAGUUAGGCUGGGAAAUAGGCAAAUCCGUUUCCCGUGAAGGCUGAGCUGUGAUGGCGAGCGAAUUAUAGUAGCGAAGUUCCUGAUUCCACACUGCCAAGAAAAGCUCUAGCGAGGUGAGAGGUGCCCGUACCGCAAACCGACACAGGUAGGCGAGGAGAGAAUCCUAAGGUGAUCGAGAGAACUCUCGUUAAGGAACUCGGCAAAAUGACCCGUAACUUCGGAGAAGGGGUGCUCUGUUAGGGUGCAAGCCCGAGAGAGCCGCAGUGAAUAGGCCCAGGCGACUGUUUAGCAAAAACACAGGUCUCUGCGAAGCCGUAAGGCGAAGUAUAGGGGCUGACGCCUGCCCGGUGCUGGAAGGUUAAGAGGAGCGCUUAGCGUAAGCGAAGGUGCGAAUUGAAGCCCCAGUAAACGGCGGCCGUAACUAUAACGGUCCUAAGGUAGCGAAAUUCCUUGUCGGGUAAGUUCCGACCCGCACGAAAGGCGCAACGAUCUGGGCACUGUCUCAACGAGAGACUCGGUGAAAUUAUAGUACCUGUGAAGAUGCAGGUUACCCGCGACAGGACGGAAAGACCCCGUGGAGCUUUACUGCAGCCUGAUAUUGAAUGUUGGUACAGCUUGUACAGGAUAGGUAGGAGCCUUGGAAACCGGAGCGCCAGCUUCGGUGGAGGCAUCGGUGGGAUACUACCCUGGCUGUAUUGACCUUCUAACCCGCCGCCCUUAUCGGGCGGGGAGACAGUGUCAGGUGGGCAGUUUGAGGGCGGUCGCCUCCUAAAAGGUAACGGAGGCGCCCAAAGGUUCCCUCAGAAUGGUUGGAAAUCAUUCGCAGAGUGUAAAGGCACAAGGGAGCUUGACUGCGAGACCUACAAGUCGAGCAGGGACGAAAGUCGGGCUUAGUGAUCCGGUGGUUCCGCAUGGAAGGGCCAUCGCUCAACGGAUAAAAGCUACCCCGGGGAUAACAGGCUUAUCUCCCCCAAGAGUCCACAUCGACGGGGAGGUUUGGCACCUCGAUGUCGGCUCAUCGCAUCCUGGGGCUGUAGUCGGUCCCAAGGGUUGGGCUGUUCGCCCAUUAAAGCGGUACGCGAGCUGGGUUCAGAACGUCGUGAGACAGUUCGGUCCCUAUCCGUCGCGGGCGCAGGAAAUUUAAGAGGAGCUGUCCUUAGUACGAGAGGACCGGGAUGGACGCACCGCUGGUGUACCAGUUGUUCUGCCAAGGGCAUCGCUGGGUAGCUAUGUGCGGACGGGAUAAGUGCUGAAAGCAUCUAAGCAUGAAGCCCCCCUCAAGAUGAGAUUUCCCAUUCCGCAAGGAAGUAAGAUCCCUGAAAGAUGAUCAGGUUGAUAGGUCUGAGGUGGAAGUGUGGCGACACAUGGAGCUGACAGAUACUAAUCGAUCGAGGACUUAACCAAUUU
rnacentral:rRNA from 1 species